rnacentral:rRNA from 1 species
UACGUAGGAGGCAAGCGUUGUCCGGAAUUACUGGGUCGUAAGCGCGUGUAGGUGGUGGGACAAGUCUGCUGUGAAAGCGCCUGGCUUAACCGGGCGAGGUCGGCGGAAACUGUUCGACUCGAGGACGGUAGAGGGGGGUGGAAUUCCCGGUGUAGUGGUGAAAUGCGUAGAGAUCGGGAGGAACACCUGUGGCGAAGGCGGCCCCCCUGGGCCGGCCCCUGACACUGAGACGCGAAGGCGUGGGGAGCGAACGGG